rnacentral:rRNA from 1 species
CGGACGGGUGAGUAAUGUCUGGGGAACUGCCCGAUGGAGGGGGAUAACUACUGGAAACGGUAGCUAAUACCGCAUAACGUCGCAAGACCAAAGAGGGGGACCUUCGGGCCUCUUGCCAUCGGAUGUGCCCAGAUGGGAUUAGCUAGUAGGUGGGGUAACGGCUCACCUAGGCGACGAUCCCUAGCUGGUCUGAGAGGAUGAUCAGCCACACUGGGACUGAGACACGGCCCAG